GAUGAACGCUGGCGGCGUGCCUAAUACAUGCAAGUCGAGCGAACAGACGAGGAGCUUGCUCCUCUGACGUUAGCGGCGGACGGGUGAGUAACACGUGGAUAACCUACCUAUAAGACUGGGAUAACUUCGGGAAACCGGAGCUAAUACCGGAUAAUAUAUUGAACCGCAUGGUUCAAUAGUGAAAGACGGUUUUGCUGUCACUUAUAGAUGGAUCCGCGCCGCAUUAGCUAGUUGGUAAGGUAACGGCUUACCAAGGCAACGAUGCGUAGCCGACCUGAGAGGGUGAUCGGCCACACUGGAACUGAGACACGGUCCAGACUCCUACGGGAGGCAGCAGUAGGGAAUCUUCCGCAAUGGGCGAAAGCCUGACGGAGCAACGCCGCGUGUGUGAUGAAGGUCUUCGGAUCGUAAAACUCUGUUAUUAGGGAAGAACAAAUGUGUAAGUAACUAUGCACGUCUUGACGGUACCUAAUCAGAAAGCCACGGCUAACUACGUG
rnacentral:rRNA from 1 species